UACAGAGGUCUCAAGCGCUGUUCGGAUUCAUUGGGCGUAAAGGGUGUGUAGGUGGCGCGCUAAGUCGGGUGUGAAAUUUCGGAGCUUAACUCCGAAACUGCAUUCGAUACUGGCGUGCUUGAGGACUGGAGAGGAGACUGGAAUUUACGGUGUAGCGGUGAAAUGCGUAGAUAUCGUAAGGAAGACCAGUGGCGAAGGCGGGUCUCUGGACAGUUCCUGACGCUGAGGCACGAAGGCCAGGGGAGCAAACGGG
rnacentral:rRNA from 1 species